GCAGAGGUCGAGCAGGGGGUUCCUGGGGCUGGGCGUCGGCUCGGAAUCAGGUGUAUGGUGGAGUUUCCAGGGGAGAUUGGCUAUUGCAACAGGUGGAAUGCAGAAUCAGAUAUGAGAAUCCAGCUGCUUUCUGUUCAGUCAACAUUAAUGGGAGGCAAACAUGUAAAACAAUGCCUCUCUUUUUAUGGCAUGUUUUUGUUUUGAAUGUGAUUAUUUUUCAUUAAAAAUGUUAUUCGUUA